CCCACUCUGCUUUCCAGAGUUGCGGAACCUCGCCAGAGGGUGCCCACCUCCUCCCGGCGCAACUUUCUCGGCUCCCCUUCACCUGGGCCCUGAAACUCCACUGGAGAGAACCUUUAAUAAACCUUGCCUUACACCCACUUCGCCUGGUGUUGUGUUUAUUUCGUCGGAAAACUUUACAUUUGGUGCCCAAACCCGGGAAGGAGAUUGAGCCCCCACCCCAGCGGGGAGACUCUCUCCUUUCCCUAGCCGGACCGGACCUGCCUUUCCGAACGCCACUUCUGAAGCCGUGGUUGGAUCGAGGCAUACCCCACGGCUCGGGAAACAGCGGAUGUAGUGGCUACAAUAUUCAUCGAGCCCAUCAUCCCAAGGUUUGGAUUGCCCCGGACCCUCCAGUCAGACAACGGACCUGCCUUCAUCUCCAGUGUAACCCAACAGGGUCGCCUACAAGAACUUGCCCGAGUAUCCGUCAAUCAACUCCUCCUCCAGCCCUACUCUCGCCUGCCCACUUCCAACUACCCCUAUGACGAUGCCCCCUGUCAGCAGGAAGUAGCCAGAACCCAGUCGACGCCCCUGACACCAUUAUAUUAAGCAAAAGGUCGGAAUGUUGGGCUAGCAGGAAGGGCUACUAAAGAUGGCGAAAGUUCCCGCCACAAGACCUGAGCUCGGACAGGAGAACAAAGGCCUGAGCAG